UACGUAGGGGGCAAGCGUUGUCCGGAUUUAUUGGGCGUAAAGAGCGUGUAGGCGGCCAGGUAGGUCAGCUGUGAAAACUCGAGGCUUAACCUCGAGACGCCGGCUGAAACCCUCUGGCUAGAGUCCGGAAGAGGAGAGUGGAAUUCCUGGUGUAGAGGUGAAAUUCGUAGAUAUCGGGAGGAACACCGGUGGCGAAGGCGGCGACCUGGGUAGAUACUGACGCUGAGGUGCGAAAGCGUGGGGAGCAAACAGG
rnacentral:rRNA from 1 species